CCUACGGGAGGCAGCAGUAGGGAAUCUUCGGCAAUGGGCGAAAGCCUGACCGAGCAACGCCGCGUGAGCGAUGAAGGCCUUCGGGUCGUAAAGCUCUGUUGUUAGAGAAGAACAAGUACGAGAGUAACUGCUCGUACCUUGACGGUACCUAACCAGAAAGCCACGGCUAACUACGUGCCAGCAGCCGCGGUAAU
rnacentral:rRNA from 1 species